rnacentral:lncRNA from 1 species
AGGGAGGUCUCGCCGAGGGGAGGCAGGGACUCAAAUGAAGGACUGGCCACAUGGAGUAUGUGUAUCUCGGAGAAGAACAUUGCUGACCUCUGUAGGAAGAAAGACUGGCCACAUGGAGCAUGUGUAUCUUGGAGAAGAACAUUGCUGACCUCUGUAGGAAGAAAGAUGUGCACAGAAUUGUACAUGGCGAUCAUCAGCAGUAUGAAGAGGAGCUGUGGGGCCAGUGAGAGAAGCUGCAGCCUGUUGAGACUCCACAAGACUGAAGAUAUGAAAAGAGGAAAUAUGCAUGAAUGCCCGCACGGAGAACCACCCCCACCUGCUGCUCCCGCUCUAAUGAUCACGCCCAUUAUCAACUGGGGGAUGGCUCUGUGCCUUGUCCUUGCAUUACAUGGACCAAGAACACUUCACAGGACUCAGAGAGGCAAAAAUAGAUACAAAAGAAGAAGGAAUUACAGAAGAAGUCACAUAACAUUAUUGCCUACAACUGACUGUUUACCUUGAAUACUUGAAGACCAGAAUGAAGAUUCUUGGGGUGAAGAAUUACAGCCUUAGCAUGGAGCAGGCCUCGGUGCAUCGGCUUUCAGCUAGGCAUGCCUGCCAAUGUUCAACGUCCUCCUGGGAUACGGAAGGCACCGUGAUAGACAUCUGGGCAAGUCAACAGGAAGGUGGAUAUCCAAAUCUCUCUCUUCGCAAUGAGUUUCCAGUUAGAUGGAGGAGAGAGUAAUAAAACACAGAGCUGAGAUUCCUGACUUCACAGAUCCCUGAGGAGAUGUUUACUAAAGGGAAUCUUCUGGUCACUGUUACCUUCCUCCGUACUUACCUGCCUCAUGGAGAACCCGAAAGGAAGAAGCUAUACGACUGGGGACACAUGUCUUAGAAGCACACUCAUUAGAUAAAGUGUCGCAUACUCUUUGAUAAGAAACUCCAGGCUGUCACCCAUCUGUUCUCUCAUCAAAGUAGUUUUGGGCCAGCAACUAUUUCAGACAUUUCUACAGUUUCAGAUGUCUCACUCUGCCUAUGACUGUAUGUUGUACUUGAGGACUGGACGCACAGGGUAAAGUGCAAAUAGCAAGCAUUCAGGUCCAACUCUCCUCCUUCUGGUUAACAAUAUGAAAGAAAGAGGUAGUAUCGGAAUUAUUUUAGUUCAAUGUAGCCAU